rnacentral:snRNA from 1 species
AAACAGCCAUGACAGUGAAGGGUGGUUUGUGAGGAUGAGACUCAUCCAUCACACUCUGGGCGUGCAGACCCUUGCCGUUUCCCCAAAUGUGGGAAAUGGGAUGGCACAAUUUGUAUAUGUUUUACAGUAAU